GAUGAAGAACGCAGCGAAAUGCGAUACGUAAUGUGAAUUGCAGAAUUCAGUGAAUCAUCGAGUCUUUGAACGCACAUUGCGCCCCCUGGUAUUCCGGGGGGCAUGCCUGUCCGAGCGUCAUUGCUGCCCUCAAGCACGGCUUGUGUGUUGGGCCUCCGUCCUCCUCCCGGGGCACGGGCCCGAAAGGCAGCGGCGGCACCGCGUCCGGUCCUCGAGCGUAUGGGGCUUCGUCACCCGCUCUUGUAGGCCCGGCCGGCGCUUGCCGACACAUCAAUCUUUUUUCCAGGUUGACCUCGGAUCAGGUAGGGAUACCCGCUGAACUUAAGCAUAUCAAUAAGCGGAGGA
rnacentral:misc_RNA from 1 species